rnacentral:rRNA from 1 species
CUUUGAUGGACCCAUUGAGGCGCCCUCGACGCGACCCCAGGUC